AGAGGGCAAGUGUAAAGACUUGUUUGAGCGUGUGGCUAUCGUACUCUUCCCGGCACAGACCUUCUCUACCACUUGCCGCACUUGAAGAAGGAAGAGGGUUGCAGUUGCCAUGGCAAUAUGAAUGUUGCAGGAGGAAAAUGGAGGAAGCGCUGUAUUUAUGGAGAGCAGAAAGGCCAGAACCAGAGGCAGGAGCAACGUGGUCUUCCCAAGGCCUGGAUGCAGACAGACAUCUAAAACGGAGCCCAGAUUGAUUGCUGUCUUCCUGCCAAAACCACAGAAAAUCUCACCAAGAGGGAGCCUAAGGCUGCCCUUGUUCUGGAGCUAGGAAGGUGGAAUUCAGGGCCUGUUUAGUGGCUCUGUCUCCUCUUCCUCCUCACCUCUUCGGAACUGAAUCUUGCUGUAACAGGAUCCAAGGUCCUGAUCUACAACCUAUGUCAACAAUUAGGUUUCUGACUUCCUAAUGAGAACAAGAAGAAUCACCCUCCUAGGACUUUCUGCUCUCAGCAGGAUCCCAGUAAAGUCUCCCUGAGGAAGCUAAUGGACUCACUGGAUGAGUGGUAAUGAUAGCAUGUCUCCUCCAGCCAAUGACCAUCUCCCGGCUCACUGGGUGUGCCUGGAGGCGCAGACCUGCCUGCCUCUGUGCACCAUCUGCAGUUGGGUCUCCAUUCUAGCUCUGCCAGCAGGCAAAAGAGACAAAAUCCAGGCAACCGCAAAAUGUUUAAUAGAACAUGGUGAGUCCAUAGGCAAUUUAUGUUUUCACUAGACUUUUUACUCUUGUAUUAUGGGCAAAACGUCUACUUACGAGUUCGUAAAAUUCCAAGAAAUGCUUGUUAUAAUGCAUGCAAAUGAUAUCCAAAGAAAAUUAGGUGACCAGCUAU